rnacentral:rRNA from 1 species
GCUUGUCUCAAAGAUUAAGCCAUGCAUGUUCAAGUAUAGCAAGUGUACAGUGAAACUGCGAAUGGCUCAUUAAAUCAGUUAUAAUUUAUUUGAUAGUGAAAUUGUACAUGGAUAACCGUGGCAAUUCUAGAGCUAAUACAUGCUGUUUUGCCUGACUCUGUGGUAAGGCUGUGCUUAUUAGUACCAGAACCAACCCAAGUUCUGCUUGGUUGCAUCCUGAUUCAUAAUAAACGAAUGGAUUGCAUGCUUUGGCUGGCAAUGUAGCAUCUAAGUUUCUGACCUAUCAGCUUCCGACGGUAAGGUAUUGGCUUACCGUGGCAAUGACGGGUAACGGAGAAUUAGGGUUUGAUUCCGGAGAGGGAGCCUGAGAAACGGCUACCACAUCUAAGGAAGGCAGCAGG